rnacentral:rRNA from 1 species
GGGGGGGCAAGCGUUUGUUCGGAAUUACUGGGCGUAAAGGGCGCGCAGGCGGCCUGGCCAGUCCUACGUGAAAUCCCACAGCUCAACUGUGGAAUUGCGUGGGAUACUGCCAGGCUUGAGUCCGGGAGAGGAGAGUGGAAUUCCCAGUGUAGCGGUGAAAUGCGUAGAUAUUGGGAGGAACACCGGUGGCGAAGGCGGCUCUCUGGACCGGCACUGACGCUGAGGCGCGAAAGCUAGGGGAGCAAACGGGGGAUUAGAUACCCCGGUAGUCCUAGCCCUAAACGAUGAGCACUUGGUGUGGCGGGUAUCGACCCCCUGCCGUGCCGAAGCUAACGCAUUAAGUGCUCCGCCUGGGGAGUACGGUCGCAAGGCUG